rnacentral:rRNA from 1 species
AAUGAACGCUGGCGGCAUGCCUAACACAUGCAAGUCGAACGCGUGGCGGACGGGUGAGUAACGUCUGGGACACUGCCUGAUGGAGGGGGAUAACUCCUGGAAACGGUAGCUAAUCCCGCAUACCAUCGGAUGUGCCCAGAUGGGAUUAGCUAGUAGGUGGGGUAACGGCUAACCUAGGCGACGAUCCCUAGCUGGUCUGAGAGGAUGACCAGCCACACUGGAACUGAGACACGGGCCAGACUCCUACGGGAGGCAGCAGUGGGGAAUAUUGCACAAUGGGCGCAAGCCUGAGAGAGCCAUGCCGCGUGUAUGAAGAAGGCCUUCGGGUUGUAAAGUACUUUCAGUGGGGAGGCGUUACCCGAAGAAGAAGCACCGGCUAACUCCGUGCCAGCAGCCGCGGUAAUAC